AAGGCUAAAUACUCCUGACUGACCGAUAGUGAACCAGUACCGUGAGGGAAAGGCGAAAAGAACCCCGGCGAGGGGAGUGAAAAAGAACCUGAAACCGUGUACGUACAAGCAGUGGGAGCCCCACCACCAAAGCAUUCUCUGGUGUUGAAGGCCCUGCAAAGCAGCAUCGCGGUGGCGGAGCGUCGUUUGCGCAAAAUUAAAAUAGCCAUACUUAUCCAUAGGGGACACGGUGUGAAUAAAGGUAUCAAUACCAAUAUCAUCAGCCAGUAAUCGCGUCGCCUGAUGAAAAUUUGAAGGUACAUAGUUAACUAUUUUUCG
rnacentral:rRNA from 1 species